GUUAUGCUUCUCUGCUGGCAUGACUAAUUUGCAAUUGGUUUAAGUUUUCAACAUCAGCCACUAAUUUUUUUCCAACUUGAAGCAAAGCAAAGCAAGCAAGCAUCUUCAACCAUUGCUGCAGUGAAGUUUCAGCAAAUCAUCAAUCAUCUCUCUCUCUCUCUCUCUCUCUCUCUCUCUCUCUCUCUCUCUCUCUCUCUCUCUCUCUCUCUCUCAUCCUUCUACAAUGAUGAGGUGUAAAUAGCUAGCAAUGAGAAAUGUCAGUGAUGAUGCACAAUUGUUUUUUUCUUUUCCUGCAGAAUUUGUACGACAGAAAAUCUUUGAAUUAAUUAGAUAUUUGGAACCAAUUUUAGAGAAGCUUGUGUUUCACCUCUCUCUCUCUCUCUCUCUCUCUCUCUCUGUGCAUAUUUGUACCAGUUAUUCA
rnacentral:lncRNA from 1 species